UGAGGUUACAGUGAGAAGGCAGCCAUCUGUGAACCAGGAAGCCGGCCCUCACCAGACACCGAAUCUGCCAGUGCCUUGAUCUUGGACUUUUCAGCCUUCGGAAGUAAACUUAUCCAGAUCAGCAUUUCCCCAUCUUUCAUGGAAUAAAAGGUUGUACCCAUGGGGGAGAAUUCUCUUUUUGGAUUUUUGCACCCUUGCCUUAAGCUGAGAAUAUAUGUUGCAUCUAAACUCAAGGCUGAUAAUAGACAACACACCAUUUUGGAGAUAAUUACUAAAGAGUGGAUGUUGGCUGAUAGAUACUGACGUCAGGAAAACCAAUCAAAAUGAAGACACAGAGUCAAGAUCCUGCUUCCUUUCCUGCUAUCACUUCCAAAGUAGCCUUUUUAAUGCAUCCAGAAAUCGAUACCGGGAUCACUGUAAAGGAGAUUUCCUUUCAACACUGGCCAUCUCACCAGGGAGGUUAAGAAAGAAUAACCAAGAACAGAACUGACAAGUUUGUCAGUGCCACCUGCAGUUGGAACAUUGACAUAAAUCCUGCCUCAUUUUACAGGAAAAUUUGAUGGACACUGUCAGAAGAAAAUCAAUGAAGCCAUCAAAUAUUGGGUACUUGUUAGAUAUAGUUUUCAGAGGAAGGAGAGUGGGAAGUAUAAGAUGAAAGUCAAUGCCUUAGUGCAUUUAUACUCUAGGUAAGAAGAAAAGAUGUGUGAUUACAAAUUAAAAUUGACUCCAGAAAUUAGUUAGCAUUUUCUGAUAAUAGUUGAAGCUUAUGUGCAUAGAAAUACGUACCAGUGAACACAAGACAUAAUGAUUGACAUAAACAGAAAAUAGUCUAUGAGCUGAACAUGGAAUGACCGCUAAGAUCUUUCUAAAACUCAUCUUGCCUUGAAUGAGUUGCAAACAUGGGAUCUCUUUCCAUUUAUUUGUGUCUUCUUCAAAUUCUUUCAUCAAUAUCUUACAGUUUUCAAUAUACAGAUCUUUCCCCUCCUUGGUUAAAUUUAUUCCUAAGUAUUUUAUUCUU